rnacentral:rRNA from 1 species
AGCGAACGCUGGCGGCAGGCUUAACACAUGCAAGUCGAACGAACCCUUCGGGGUUAGUGGCGGACGGGUGAGUAACACGUGGGAACGUGCCCUUAGGUUCGGAACAACACAGGGAAACUUGUGCUAAUACCGGAUAAGCCCUUACGGGGAAAGGUUUAUCGCCUUUGGAGCGGCCCGCGUCUGAUUAGCUUGUUGGUGGGGUAAAGGCUCACCAAGGCUACAAUCAGUAGCUGGUCUGAGAGGAUGGCCAGCCACAUUGGGACUGAGACACGGCCCAAACUCCUACGGGAGGCAGCAGUGGGGAAUCUUGCGCAAUGGGGGAAACCCUGACGCAGCCAUGCCGCGUGGAUGAUGAAGGUCUUAGGAUUUGUAAAAUCCUUUUCAGCGGGGACGAUAAUGACGGUACCCGCAGAAGAAGUCCCGGCUAACCUCGUGACAGCCGCCGC